rnacentral:rRNA from 1 species
CAGUCGAACGGAGUACCCUCGAAAGAGAUUUCGGUCAAUGGAGAGGACUACUUAGUGGCGGACGGGUGAGUAACGCGUGAGGAACCUGCCUUUCAGAGGGGGACAACAGUUGGAAACGACUGCUAAUACCGCAUGAUGCAGUUGGGUCGCAUGGCUCUGACUGCCAAAGAUUUAUCGCUCUGAGAUGGCCUCGCGUCUGAUUAGCUAGUUGGUGGGGCAACGGCCCACCAAGGCGACGAUCAGUAGCCGGACUGAGAGGUUGACCGGCCACAUUGGGACUGAGACACGGCCCAGACUCCUACGGGAGGCAGCAGUGGGGAAUAUUGGGCAAUGGGCGCAAGCCUGACCCAGCAACGCCGCGUGAAGGAAGAAGGCUUUCGGGUUGUAAACUUCUUUUAUUGAGGACGAAACAAAUGACGGUACUCAAUGAAUAAGCCACGGCUAACUACGUGCCAGCAGCCGCGGUAAUACGUAGGUGGCAAGCGUUAUCCGGAUUUACUGGGUGUAAAGGGCGUGUAGGCGGGACUGCAAGUCAGAUGUGAAACCCAUGGGCUCAACCCAUGGCCUGCAUUUGAAACUGUAGUUCUUGAGUGAUGGAGAGGCAGGCGGGAUUCCGUGUGUAGCGGUGAAAUGCGUAGAUAUACGGAGGAACACCAGUGGCGAAGGCGGCCUGCUGGGCUUUAACUGACGCUGAGGCACGAAAGCGUGGGUAGCAAACAGGAUUAGAUACCCUGGUAGUC